CCCUCGGGUGACAGGGAGGACAGGUGGUGCAUGGUUGUCGUCAGCUCGUGUCGUGAGAUGUUGGGUUAAGUCCCGCAACGAGCGCAACCCCUACGUUUAGUUGCUAACGCGUGAAGGCGAGCACUCUAGACGAACUGCCGUUGACAAAACGGAGGAAGGUGGGGAUGACGUCAAAUCAUCAUGCCCCUUAUGUUCUGGGCUACACACGUGCUACAAUGGCCGGUACAGACGGACGCAAAGCCGCGAGGUGGCGCCAAUCCAUAAAGUUGGUCUCAGUUCAGAUUGUAGGCUGCAACCCGCCUGCAUGAAGAUGGAGUUGCUAGUAACCGCAGGUCAGCUAUACUGCGGUGAAUACGUUCCCGGGGCUU
rnacentral:rRNA from 1 species